rnacentral:rRNA from 1 species
CAGGACGAACGCUGGCGGCGUGCCUAAUACAUGCAAGUCGAACGGUCUUUCUAUGGAAGCUUGCUUCAACUGAGAAGAUAGUGGCGAACGGGUGAGUAACACGUGGGUAACCUGCCCAUAAGAGGGGGAUAACAUCCGGAAACGGGUGCUAAUACCGCAUAGUUUUCUUGAUCGCAUGAUCGGGAAAGGAAAGACGGCCUUUGUGCUGUCGCUUAUGGAUGGACCCGCGGCGUAUUAGUUAGUUGGUGAGGUAACGGCUCACCAAGACGAUGAUACGUAGCCGACCUGAGAGGGUGAUCGGCCACAUUGGGACUGAGACACGGCCCAAACUCCUACGGGAGGCAGCAGUAGGGAAUCUUCCGCAAUGGACGAAAGUCUGACGGAGCAACGCCGCGUGAGUGAAGAAAGGGUUUUCGGAUCGUAAAACUCUGUUGUCAGAGAAGAACAAGUUGGAGAGUAACUGCUCCAGCCUUGACGGUAUCUGACCAGAAAGCCACGGCUAACUACGUGCCAGCCGCAGC